rnacentral:rRNA from 1 species
GAUGAACGCUGGCGGCGUGCCUAAUACAUGCAAGUCGAGCGAACAGACGAGGAGCUUGCUCCUCUGACGUUAGCGGCGGACGGGUGAGUAACACGUGGAUAACCUACCUAUAAGACUGGGAUAACUUCGGGAAACCGGAGCUAAUACCGGAUAAUAUAUUGAACCGCAUGGUUCAAUAGUGAAAGACGGUUUUGCUGUCCCUUAUAGAUGGAUCCGCGCCGCAUUAGCUAGUUGGUAAGGUAACGGCUUACCAAGGCGACGAUGCGUAGCCGACCUGAGAGGGUGAUCAGCCACACUGGAACUGAGACACGGUCCAGACUCCUACGGGAGGCAGCAGUAGGGAAUCUUCCGCAAUGGGCGAAAGCUUGACGGAGCAACGCCGCGUGAGUGAUGAAGGUCUUCGGAUCGUAAAACUCUGUUAUUAGGGAAGAACAAAUGUGUGAGUAACUAUGCACGUCUUGACGGUACCUAAACAGAAAGCCACGGCUAACUACGUG